UUCCGUUCUCGGGGCGGGGUGAAAGUCCCCACCGGCGGUAUCCCGGAGUUCUCCGGGGAGCCCGCGAGCGCCCUUCCGCCAGGAAGGGGCCAGCAGAUCUGGUGAGAGGCCAGGGCCGACGGUCACAGUCCGGAGGGUAGAGAGAGGAG
rnacentral:ncRNA from 2 species